CCUACGGGAGGCUGCAGUGAGGAAUAUUGGGCAAUGGACGAGAGUCGGAACCAGCCAAGUAGCGUGAAGGAUGACUGCCCGAUGGGUUGUAAACUUCUUUUAUAAAGGAAUAAAACGAGGCACGUGGGCCGUUUUGCAUGUACGUUAUGAAGAAGGAUCGGCUAACUCCGUGCCAGCAGCCGCGGUAAUACGGAGGAUACGAGCUUUAUCCGGCUUUAUUGGGUUUAAAGGGAGCGUAGAUGGGUUGUUAAGGCAGUUGUGAAAGUUUGCGGCUCAACCGUAAAAUUGCAAGUGAUACUGGCAGUCUUGAGUACAGUUGAGGUAGGCGGAAUUCGUGGUGUAGCGGUGACAUGCUUAGCUAUCACGA
rnacentral:rRNA from 1 species